ACGGAUCCAAUAGGGCAAAUUUCUAACAAUGGUGUGGAGCAAACUUAUGUCAUUCAAAUAGAUCUAAAAGGAGUUCAAAAUCAUAUUCAUAUGAUCCAUAUAUAUUUGGGGCGUGCUUCAACUCAUAUGGGACAGAUUUGGUGCAACACUUGUAAUCAUAGGCUUAGAGAGCCUAAUCAAACCUAUGGGCUAAAACUACACAAAGGGAAGCCUAGAGUGAAGAUCAAGUAAGGCUUUUGUGAAGAUUCAGCUUUGUUAUGAUGGGCUUGCUAUAUUUUUAUUAUUUAACACUUGUCUUAUUUUAGUUUUGUUUGGGCUUGUAUUAUGGCCAUACUUUAUCUUUUAAGUUUUAGAGUGUUGGGCCAUGUUUUGGGCUUAUAUUUUAAUACUUAUGUGUUAUUUUAGUGUGUGAUUGGGUUUGAACCUUAUGUGUUUAAGUCAAGUCCAAGAAGAGUGUCUUAGGAUUUUAUUUGUUUUUCUCCUUACUAUAUAAGGAUAAGAAAUAAUUGUAAGAGGCAGCUUUUAAUCAAACUUUUCAGAAUUUCUUUCAUGCCUUUGGCGUGUAUUGCUUUGAGUGAGAGUGAGGAUUUGCUUUCAUCAAUUGCACCAGGAAUCUUGGCUAACUUAUCAACUAUUCGUUGUGGCGUUUGUCGGAUUCUCAUCUAAAUCCUUCGAUCAUUGGUGUUUCAGCUUCUCUAAGUUUGGGGUGCCAUAGGAGGUGGGUUUAUCAGAUCUUUGGAUUCCGUAUCUACUUGUGCGUGUGGGUUUGAGGCUUGUGCCAUAGGGUUCCGCGUCAGUUGGUAUCAGAGCCAAAGUAGGUAAAUUCUUAUUUAUCUCAGGAUAUAGAGGUUUUUUUUUUGAGUUUCUCUUUUCCUGGUUAUUGAUUUCGGUGAAAACUUUUGUGUCCAUGGCUGCACCUUCUUGAUUAUUAAUCAUCAAAAAAAAAAAAAAAAAAAAAACGAAAAAAAAAAAAUCGCCUUUGCCAUAAUUAUCUUGAUCUGGCCAAAAUUGUGAUAUGCUUCCUUUUUCAUCCAUAUUUCCUUACCUAUCUCAAUUGAUUGCUGUAGUUUAUGGAAAUCAAUUUUGAAUUUUCAAUUGGGUUGAAUCCAGAUUAGGAGACAAAAGAAAUUUGCCUAUUUCUUAAGGUGCACAUUUAAGGCAACUGCAUCUAAAUCGAUUUGGUGUCAAAUCCAUCUUUUAAUGCCCAUUUUCGUCCAUGAUGCUGCACUGAGUGAGAUAUAUUUUUUUUUUGUCUAUUUGUGGGGUUUUGAUACUUGCCUUUUUGAGUAGAUUUAAAUAGAUCCGUAUUUAAUUUGCGUUGAAGCCAAUUAAAUUCAAAUUUUUGUCCAGAUUCGUUUUUAUUUGAAUUCAAAGUUUCUUUUUUUGGUUUAAGCUUGCUUUUGCUUCCUUUACAUUGCUGGAGUAUUGUUUGCUUGUGUAUAUACUCUAGGUGAUAUUUUUCAAGUAGCACAAAACCUAGUUCAUGUGUUACUUUCGAAAUUAUCAGUGUCUUCUUUCUAGUUUUUUGCGCGCUUCCUUCUUUCUUUAGGUUUUCUUCUUUGUUUCAUUAAACGCACCUUGUGGUUGGUUGGUUGACCUUAGUUUCUGAAGUGCAAUUGAAGAAUCAGCAAAAGAAUGGUAAGAGUGCAAACACUUGAGUACUUUCUUUUUUAAUACAAUAUUUGCUAGUUCUUUUUGUUCUUUGUUGAUUUAAGGUAGGAUGAGUAAAGACAAGAAUGUGGUGGAUUGUACUGAUGAAAGUGAAUCGAAUAUGGGUAACGAUUAUAAGCUCUUUAAGAAGUCAGUCAGUGGUGAGUUACAAAGGCUCAAUAAGACUCUUGAGAGGUUAACUGAAACUAUGGAGAGUUUGAAUGUCUCACAAGUUUCCACUUCUACAAGAAUACCUCAAAGAACUCUUAAUUGCAAUAAUGACUGUGAUGAUUCGGAUGUGUUGGUUAAUAAUGUGUUGCUUGCUGUACAUUAUGAGAUGCUUGUUGCUAGGCGUGCUCUGAAUAUGCAGGUUAAGAAAGAAAGCCUAGAACAACGGGAAAACAUAUUUCACACUAGGUGUUUGGUUAAUGGAAAAGUGUGUACUCUCAUUAUUGAUGGAGGUAGUUGCACAAAUGUGCCAAGUGUGUAUAUGGUGGAGAAAUUGGGCUUGGCUUCUAUUGAACACCCUAAGCCAUACAGAUUGCAAUGGUUGAAUGAUUGUGGUAAGGUUAGGGUUAUACGCCAGGUGGUUAUACCAUUUUCUAUUGGCAGGUACAAGGAUGAGAUAUUGUGUGAUGUGGUACCUAUGCAGGCAAGCCAUAUGUUGUUGGGUUGGCCGUGGCAACAUGAUAGAAAUGUGCAACAUGAUGGGUUCAAUAACAAGUACUCCUUCACUCAUGAAGGACAGAAGGUUACACUCGCUCCUUUAUCACCUCAAGAGGUAUAUGUUGAUCAAAUAAAGAUGCUGGAGAGGGAGAGGGAGGCUUCGGCCUUGGCCACAAAGGGGAGUGAGAGUUUGAAUUCUAGGGAAAAGAUGAGAGAAAAGAGUGAGUUUGAGGGUAAAGAGGCUGGAAAAGAAUCAAGACUAGUUCAAGGAGGGAAGGUGGAGAAAGAAAAGGAGAAAGAAGAGGCUAAAGUUCCAAUCUCAACUUCCAUAGAGAUUGAAAUUGAAGAGGAAGUUGUAAUGCAUGAAUCUAAUGUGGUUGUUGUUGAGAAUUCCAUCAAUGAACUUAUAGAAGAGGUUGUGAAUGAUGAAGGACAUGGGGAGCACAUGAUUGAUGAGGUGGAGGAGGCGAAUGAGACUGUUUUGGAAGUUGUAGAGGAGAAUGGGUCACAUCCACAAGAUCUUUCUAUAACUAAUAUUUUUAUGCCUAGUUCAUUUGUUCUUGAUGUGCACGUUGUUGAUGAAAACAUUAAUGACGGAAGUUUUAUCCUAUUUCCACCUAUUCAAAAGGAGGUCUUUGAAGAUACAUUGGUUCCUAAAGCUUCCCUUUUUGACAUAAAUAUCAGCAAGAUUCGAGGACGAAUCUUUUCUAAAGAAGGAGAGAAUGAUACGGAUCCAAUAGGGCAAAUUUCUAACAAUGGUGUGGAGCAAACUUAUGUCAUUCAAAUGGAUCUAAAAGGAGUUCAAAAUCAUAUUCAUAUGAUCCAUAUAUAUUUGGGGCGUGCUUCAACUCAUAUGGGACAGAUUUGGUGCAACACUUGCAAUCAUAGGCUUAGGGAGCCUAAUCAAACCUAUGGGCUAAAACUACACAAAGGGAAGCCUAGAGUGAAGAUCAAGUAAGGCUUUUGUGAAGAUUCAGCUUUGUUAUGAUGGGCUUGCUAUAUUUUUAUUAUUUAACACUUGUCUUAUUUUAGUUUUGUUUGGGCUUGUAUUCUGGCCAUACUUUAUCUUUUAAGUUUUAGAGUGUUGGGCCAUGUUUUGGGCUUAUAUUUUAAUACUUAUGUGUUAUUUUAGUGUGUGAUUGGGUUUGAACCUUAUGUGUUUAAGUCAAGUCCAAGAAGAGUGUCUUAGGGUUUUAUUUGUUUUUCCCCUUACUAUAUAAGGAUAAGAAAUAAUUGUAAGAGGCAGCUUUUAAUCAAACUUUUCAGAAUUUCUUUCAUGCCUUUGGCGUGUAUUGCUUUGAGUGAGAGUGAGGAUUUGCUUUCAUCAAUUGCACCAGGAAUCUUGGCUAACUUAUCAACUAUUCGUUGUGGCGUUUGUCGGAUUCUCAUCUAAAUCCUUCGAUCAUUGGUGUUUCAGCUUCUCUAAGUUUGGGGUGCCAUAGGAGGUGGGUUUAUCAGAUCUUUGGAUUCCGUAUCUACUUGUGCGUGUGGGUUUGAGGCUUGUGCCAUAGGGUUCCGCGUCAGAAAUGGUGAGGAGAGAAAAAAAAAUUGAUUUCUUCAAUUUAUCUUGUUUGGACAUUAAAUAGAGAAGAGAAAGGAGGAUUGUGGUUAGUGGAGAAAAGCAGAAGGGAAAUUUCAUUUCCCAAAUUCUCUUAAUUGUCCCAAAAUCUUUCUCUACAAAUAGAAGUAAAAUGAAGGGAAAUGUGGGAAUAAGGGUGUUAUUAUUUAUAUUAAGAUUCUCAGACAUAAGGGGAAAAAAAAGAGUAUGAUAGUUAUUAGCAAGAGCUUAGGGAGAACUUGUAUCUCUAUCCCAUUCUAAUAAUCUAUCCAACAACAUAAAAGGAAAUUAAAUUUCCUGUUUUUCCCUCUUUGUAAUUUCCUUUUUUCCCCUCUUUGUUUCCCUUUUUCAUUUUCUGUUCACUUCUCUUCCAUAAAGGAUUAAAACUAAAAAAAGGAAGCACAAACAGUAACUAGCAAAUGCACCAGUAGGAGACACAAGAAAAUAAGUCUUUUAUCAGGACUACUGCUUUUUCUGUCAAAAAAAGUUGUUUUAUUAUUAGUAAUAUGUUGUCAGGC
rnacentral:lncRNA from 1 species